AUCAGAUUUUCAUUUUAUUAAAAUAAAAAAUUUCAAUUAAUUAGAAAAAAAAGAAAAUAAUUGAAAGAGGAAAAUUAGGGUUACGCUAUGCCUCAAGAACUUCCUCAGGCUAACCCUCACUCCUCUCGUUCUCAGACAAGUGCGACGGUGCCGCUCACAAACCCCUUCUCUGGCUAAAAAUUCGACGAACACCGCCAUGAACAACCAAACUACCCCACCUUCGGUUCAUUUCUUGCAUUCAUUUCGUCAAUUUCACCUUAUUCUCCCUAAAUCUAGCAAAAUCGUUUAGAAAUCCUAAGCGCAAAAUUCCAAUUACAGAGCAACAAUCGAAUUAUGAAGCCUUAGGUUUAUGAUUCAUGGAACUUCAAUCUACACAGAAGUAUGAAGGAGACGAAGGAUGAAUGAAAUAAAGGGAGUUCCAAGGCUUACCUAAUGUGCGAAAUGGCGAAGACCGUUGAAGAAAACCAGAGGGGAGAUAAUAAGGACAUGGUUGGGUUUGCAAGUGCGACGACACGAUCUUGGUAUAACCUGCUGGUGAUCAUGAGCAAAGGGGCUAUCAUAUUGGCAACUGCUGAAGUGGUUAAUGGCUAGCUAUUGUGUUAGUUUGGUGAAUGUUGAACUUAACAUAGAGAUUUGAUCCUGGAAUGUGAAUGUAAUAAUGUGGACAUUGUAUAGACUGAAACAACAUUGCUUUAGCUGUCAAUAUUUCGGUUAUGUAUGGUGCGGGUUAUGAAUGUGGUUUUGGUAGCAAGUGGAGGUGGGGCAGAACCGAUAUGGACGGAUUUGGAUGCAAGUAGAAGCAAGAAAAUGGCAUAGAAUUUUGGAUAGGUUUAUACUGUGACAAUUGGAACAAGGCGAAUGGGAUUAAUUUGAAUCAAGUUCUGUGGUUGUUCGAAUGUAUGCUUUAGGAUAGGUAGUUUAAGGUUUGUAUGUGUAGGUUUUUGUACAUGUAACAAAAGAUAGGCAUGGUUUGUAAAUAGUGAGUUUUAUUUGUAAAUUUGAAUUUGAACUUGAAUGAAUGCACUUGGAAUAAUGUUGGUUUUGAAUGUUGUUGUAUUGAGAAUGGAUGAUGAAUAUAUUUGUUCUUGAA